rnacentral:rRNA from 1 species
ACAUCCAGAGAAUUUAGCAGAGAUGCUUAGUGCCUUCGGGAACUCUGAGACAGGUGCUGCAUGGCUGUCGUCAGCUCGUGUUGUGAAAUGUUGGUUAAGUCCCGCAACGAGCGCAACCCUUAUCCUUUGUUGCCAGCACGUAAUGGUGGGAACUCAAAGGAGACUGCCGGUGAUAAACCGGAGGAAGGUGGGGAUGACGUCAAGUCAUCAUGGCCCUUACGAGUAGGGCUACACACGUGCUACAAUGGCGCAUACAAAGAGAAGCGACCUCGCGAGAGCAAGCGGACCUCAUAAAGUGCGUCGUAGUCCGGAUUGGAGUCUGCAACUCGACUCCAUGAAGUCGGAAUCGCUAGUAAUCGUAAAUCAGAAUGUUACGGUGAAUACGUUCCCGGGCCUUGUACACACCGCCCGUCACACCAUGGGAGUGGGUUGCAAAAGAAGUAGAUAGCUUAACCUUCGGGAGGGCGUUUACCACUUUGUGAUUCAUGACUGGGGUGAAGUCGUAACAAGGUAAGCGUAGUGCU